GCGACACUAGCUCAGUUGGUAGAGCACAACCUUGCCAAGGUUGAGGUCACGAGUUCGAACCUCGUGUGUCGCUCCA
rnacentral:tRNA from 4 species